rnacentral:rRNA from 1 species
CUCUGGUGGCGUAGUAAGCAAGGACAACAUAAACCGUAUUGGGUGUCAUGGUACUCGAUGAGCAUGCCAAAAUAUAUGGGAGGCCUGGGCUUUCGAGAUUUUGAAAUUCUUAAUAUGUCUCUUCUGGCAAGGCAGGCAUGGAGGAUACUUUAGAACCCGAGCUCUCUUAGUGGUAGAAUCCUCAAAGCGGUAUACUUCCCAGAUAGUGAGUUCUUGUCAGCAGAGCUGGGUGACCACCUGUCACAGAUUUGGAGAGGCAUGUUAGAAGGCCAUGAUACAAUGAAGCUAGGCCUAAUCAGGUGAGUAGGCAAUGGAAAUACAACUAACAUAUGGGAUAUGAAUUGGUUACCACGUAGGGAGAACAUGAGGCCUAUAGUGGCGCUAGUUGCUGAUCCUCCUCAACUACUGUCAGAAUUGAGAGACCAAGGAAAUGCAAGAUGGAACAGUGCAUUGGUCGCACAAACUUUUCUUCCAUAUGAUGCAGCGGAAAUACUUAAGAUUCCUAUCUGCACACGAGUAAUGGAGGAUUUCUGGUCGUGGGCUUCGAGAAGAAUGGAAUCUUCUCGGUUCAGUCUGCAUACAAGAUGA